UACGUAGGGUGCGAGCGUUGUCCGGAAUUAUUAGGCGUAAAGAGCUCGUAGGCGGUGUGUCACGCGAUCGUGAAAACUUACAGCUUAACUGUGAGCGUGCGGUCGAUGACGGGCAUCACUGGAGUUGGGCAGGGAGACGUGGAAUUCCGUGGUGUAGCGGUGAAAUGCGCAGAUAUCAGGAGGAACACCGGUGGCGAAGGCGGGUCUCUGGGCCGAUACUGACGCUGAGGAGCGAAAGCGUGGGGAGCGAACAGG
rnacentral:rRNA from 1 species